AGAGUUUGAUCCUGGCUCAGGAUGACGCUAGCUACAGGCUUAACACAUGCAAGUCGAGGGGCAGCAUGUCGGUUGCUUGCAACCGAUGAUGGCGACCGGCGCACGGGUGAGUAACGCGUAUCCAACCUACCCUUGUCCAUCGGAUAACCCGUCGAAAGGCGGCCUAACACGAUAUGCGGUUCACAGCAGGCAUCUAACGUGAACGAAAUGUGAAGGAGAAGGAUGGGGAUGCGUCUGAUUAGCUUGUUGGCGGGGUAACGGCCCACCAAGGCUACGAUCAGUAGGGGUUCUGAGAGGAAGGUCCCCCACAUUGGAACUGAGACACGGUCCAAACUCCUACGGGAGGCAGCAGUGAGGAAUAUUGGUCAAUGGACGAGAGUCUGAACCAGCCAAGUAGCGUGCAGGAUGACGGCCCUAUGGGUUGUAAACUGCUUUUAUAGGGGGAUAAAGUGUGCCACGUGUGGCAUAUUGCAGGUACCCUAUGAAUAAGGACCGGCUAAUUCCGUGCCAGCAGCCGCGGU
rnacentral:rRNA from 1 species